UUGUGUGCAAUGAACAGACACAAGAGUUUGUUCAUUUCAGCUCUUUUCCAAGAGUAGAAAAGAAAUCAAAGAAACGAAAUUUAAAGCUGCUGUAAGGAGUGUGGUUUGUGUUGGUAUUGGCGCCCCCUGUGGACAAAGUAAUACCUAUCCACAGGUGUCCAGAAAAAAUAGAACUCUUGCGAUCAUCUGCGGAGUCCAGCGAUCCGCAGCGGAACAGAAAGAAGCCGGUGGAAAUUGACACAUUAACUUGAAUGGUUACGAUCAGCUUUGAUCGGCACAUACAGCCUUUUCGUAGCAAUACCGGAUGCGAUGGAAAUUGCCAGUUACAUGGGAGAGAAAAUCAAAUUCCAAUCGCAUUGUCUGGGUGUCUUAAUCGGAGUUGUCCGACUCCAAUUAUAGUUGGACUAAGGUGUUUAGAUGCACUUCAUUUGUCCGGUCUUAAUCGGAUUAAGGCAAUAAUUCGGUUUUCUCGUGUGUCAUGGAAACGUACUGACUUUCAGUUUCAGCCUGUUUCUCCUCCAGUUAAAAAAUGCUCACUGUGCCUUUAAUGAAAAAAACAACAACAUAAGGUUAGCUCUUGAGACCUGUCUAUUCUGAGCUAUUGGAGAUAAGAGUGUUUUAAUAUGGCCAUCCUUAUAGAAGAGGAGCACAUCAAACUAUUAAAAUUAUUACACACUUAAGGAAGUCUAUUUGGACUCGAAGUUUAUAUUCAUGUUUUUUUCAUGCCGUACUUUUUUGCACUUUAUAAAUGAACAAAUAUAAAGUUACUGUAUCAAACUGUCGUUUUAAAACCAUUUAAGGUUUCUCCCCCCCCCCGAACUGUGGAGACAAACUUCACUCAGACACUAAAUUAAGAAUAUAUAUAUCCCCACACAGAAGCAGCAGACUAUUUAUCAUACUAUGUAAAGCAUGUAAAAGUCGGACAGGCGAGUGUUCCAGGCAGAAAUAACUCCUCCACAGUGCUCAGAAACUGCGGGCUCUACACUUCAGGGCCAUUAUCACACAUUUCUAAGGAAACUAUUUAUUCGUUCAAGCGACAGGCGAGCUGAGUCACUCACUUUAAAUUCACCUGUGGAGAAACAGCGUUGGCAGGGUUCAGGAAACUGGGGCUUACUGUUAAAUUUUGAGCUGAAACGCGUUGAAUAAAAUCUGCUCAAACUGC